GCCUGGGUGGCUUCGUCGGUUGAGCAUCUGACUUUGGCUCAGGUCAUGAUAUCAUGGUUCGUGAGUUCAAGCCCCACGUCGGGCU
rnacentral:tRNA from 1 species